rnacentral:snRNA from 1 species
AGCUUUGCGCAGUGGCAGUAUAGUAGCCAAUGAGGUUUAUCCGAGGCGCAAUUGUUGCUAAUUGAAAACAUAUCCAUCCAUUCAAUCAAUCAUCCACUCAUUUAUUUGCGUAUAUGUUAAGAUAUGUAUCUCAAAUUUAAG